CGGUGAUCGGCCUAUCUAAAUCAGGAACGGUUCUCAAAAUCUAAUCGCUGUCUCCUCCCCCCUCCCGCGAGCUGCAGCGGGUCCAUCCAUCCCGAGAGGUUAUCAGCAAAACGCUCUUUCCCUCUUCGCUCGUACGUUAUGCGUGUCACUAGUCGCCUAGAGCCGCGCUUGAGCACUCCCGUCGAUUUUAAUUUUGACCCAAGUGUCAGGUAAAAUAUUCAGCCCGGUUUUAAUCGCUUUACCUGCGAGUUUUUCAAGAAAUAUUCGGAAUAUAUUUCCGUCCGUAGGCUGUGCGUGGUGCCAGUACGAAUUUGGCCGGUUUUUCUGUUUUCUACAUGAUUUUUCAUCAAGUCUGUAUCAUAACUUGCGCCCUCGGGGUCGGCCACCAAGUGGACGAUGACGAAUUGCUUAGAAUCGCGAACAAUGAAUCCGAGUUUAAAUUCAACACAGAUUCGUACGAGACGCUGAAGGAGCAGAUUGUCCUCAUCGCUCGGCGGGCGAAGACGGUACCGCAGACGCCAAAAAUGGGAUCAGAGAUCAGUGAGAGACUGAGAGAGGUCGGCGAAAAGAGGUACUACCGACUGGGAAUGCCGCAGAAUGGUGUGAUAAUCAAAUUGGUCAACGAGAGGGGUGAGACCCGGGGCUACUGGACUUACGCUGGCGAGCGGCCGUCUAUUGCCCUUUACGAUGGGGUUAUAACCGCCGGCGAGACGUUUAUUCCACCCCACCGCCACGAGUCUCUUCCAGGGAGGUUAGAAAACGACGGGAUGUGAGUGCCAAUGCACCGAGUGAUGAUGUGAUGAUUGUGCUAGAGAGUUUUACGACUGACAGUGAGGUGAAGAUGAAGAUUGUUGACGGAGGCGCCAAGUCUGCAGCCACUAAAGCUGGAGUCAUUUGCACUGCUCUUAUUUCGAUUUUCGCUCUCAUUACUGUUUUGUUAAAAUGAUCAACAUCAGUGUUCGAUGAAAAAUAUCAAACACUAAGAAGUGGCCCGAACUGUAUGUAACAAGGUGGAGAAAUGGUGCUGGGUCCACACCAUUUCGCGGGGAAACAAAGCCAAGAAAUACCAAAAAUUAAAAUUAGAGUCAAAAAUAAAUUUUUAGAACUCUAAUGCGCACCAGUACGAACUGAGUCUGCUGAUGAGGUCUAAUAAGGCCCAAACUGGUAUAGAUCUCUCGGCGUGACUCCAACUUAAUAUUUCUAUGCAAACUGCCUGAGCUGAACACUCUACCCCCUUAGUUUCGCACUGGUGCGCAUUAGAGUUCUAAAAAUUUAUUUUUGACUCUAAUUUUAAUUUUUGGUAUUUCUUGGCUUUGUUUCCCCACGAAAUGGUGUGGACCCAGCACCAUUUCUCCACCUUGUUACAUCAGUGUGUGUAAAGGAUAAUUUCAUGUAAUAGGGGUGGAGAGGGAUCCAGAAACUUUUGGGAGAAAGUGUACCGCAUAAAUUCGUCGUCUUCCUGACGAAGGAAUGUAACUCCGUUCCGAGGUUGCAAAAUCGACUGAGACAAUUUAAUUUUUUACAAGAUUGCGCAUGUGCAAUUUUUGUAAAAAUUUUCCUGAUUUUUGUAUGAGAUCCGGGGAAAAUCAGUGAAAUUUUCUGUUAGAAGUGCUCAAGAUUCAUCUGGUAAAAAUGGAAUUUGCUAGGGGAAAUUUGGUAACACUGAAAUGAAGUUACGCUCUUUCGUAAGGCGAACGACAAAUUGUGGAAUAAUAAAUUGUAAUAAAAUUUUGAUCUCACAUUCGUGUAAAAUAUAUCUAGAGUGGAAUAAAUUAAAAUGAAACAAUUACAAGAAAUAAUCAGGUUUUGAGUUUGCUCAUUUAAAG
rnacentral:lncRNA from 1 species